GACAGAGGGGGCAAGCGUUGCUCGGAAUCACUGGGCGUAAAGGGCGCGUAGGCGGGAUGGCAAGUCGGUCGUGAAAUCCUUCGGCUCAACCGAAGAACGUCGGCCGAUACUGCCGUUCUUGAGGGAUGCAGAGGAGAUUGGAAUUCCCGGUGUAGCGGUGAAAUGUGUAGAGAUCGGGAGGAACACCGGUGGCGAAGGCGGGUCUCUGGGCAUCUCCUGACGCUGGGGCGCGAAAGCGUGGGGAGCAAACGGG
rnacentral:rRNA from 1 species